GUUGCCAAAAUCAAUGUGAUAUUUGUCGUAAUAUGUACCAAUCACAUUUGGGUCAAUGUGGAAGUAAGGAGUUCAUAUAAAAACUGGGUCACACAGAACAUUUCACCAACUUCUCCAUAUCACAGGGAGCACCAGAACUGUCCUGAGGCCGAGGGAAGAUGCAAAGUCGCAACCAUGAUUCUGCGAAUAUCCAAUCUUACAAAAACUGGUCAAUAUUCAGUCUCAUCUGCUGCUGUUUACCAUUAGGUGUCCUGGCAACUAUUUAUUCUUUCAAGUGUGAAAAUGCUGCUAAGGCGGGAGAUACAACUGAAGCACAGAAAUCAUCCAAAAUUGCAAAAUACUUAAACAUAGCCGCCUUGGUGAUUGGUCUCAUCAUAAUUACCAUAUGUAUUAUCAAUUUCGCAGUAGUACUCAGUAGUUCCAAGAAAUGAAAUAAACAAUGGAAAGAACGUACAAUUUUUUUCUGAAGAUCGGAAGACGCUUCAUGAAGACUCCUUUGUAUUGAAAUAAAGUCUGUGUACGGCAGCAUUAUCUGGUGACACAAGAAAAUAAAUGACAUGGGUUUCUUGAUUGUCUGUCUGUUAGAAUCAGAGUAAAAUGAUGAUCUAUAGAAUAUGUAUAUUUCAAAUUUUCGGUACAAAUUAAUAAAAAUUCGAUUAGAAACCUG